rnacentral:rRNA from 1 species
UGGGGAAUUUUGGACAAUGGGCGAAAGCCUGAUCCAGCAAUGCCGCGUGUGUGAAGAAGGCCUUCGGGUUGUAAAGCACUUUUGUCCGGGAAAAGAAAUCCUUGGCUCUAAUACAGUCGGGGGAUGACGUACCGGAAGAAUAAGCACCGGCUAACUACGUGCCAGCAGCCGCGGUAAUACGUAGGGUGCAAGCGUUAAUCGGAAUUACUGGGCGUAAAGCGUGCGCAGGCGGUUUGCUAAGACCGAUGUGAAAUCCCCGGGCUCAACCUGGGAACUGCAUUGGUGACUGGCAGGCUAGAGUAUGGCAGAGGGGGGUAGAAUUCCACGUGUAGCAGUGAAAUGCGUAGAGAUGUGGAGGAAUACCGAUGGCGAAGGCAGCCCCCUGGGCCAAUACUGACGCUCAUGCACGAAAGCGUGGGGAGCAAACAGGAUUAGAUACCCUGGUAGUCCACGCCCUAAACGAUGUCAACUAGUUGUUGGGGAUUCAUUUUCCUUAGUAACGUAGCUGACGCGUGAAGUUGACCGCCUGGGGAGUACGGUCGC